rnacentral:rRNA from 1 species
AAUAAGCGGAGGAAAAGAAACUAACAAGGAUUCCCCUAGUAGCGGCGAGCGAAGCGGGAAGAGCUCAAAUUUAUAAUCUGGCACCUUCGGUGUCCGAGUUGUAAUCUCUAGAAGUGUUUUCCGCGUUGGACCGCACACAAGUCUGUUGGAAUACAGCGGCACAGUGGUGAGACCCCCGUUCAUGGUGCGGAUGCCCAAUGCUUUGUGAUACAUUUUCGAAGAGUCGAGUUGUUUGGGAAUGCAGCUCAAAUUGGGUGGUAAAUUCCAUCUAAAGCUAAAUAUUGGCGAGAGACCGAUAGCGAACAAGUACCGUGAGGGAAAGAUGAAAAGCACUUUGGAAAGAGAGUUAACAGUACGUGAAAUUGUUGGAAGGGAAACGCUUGAAGUCAGACUUGCUGUUCGGAGUUCAGCCGCAAGGUGUACUCUCCGAGUUGCAGGCCAGCAUCAGUUUUUCGGGGUGGAAAAUCACGGUUUGAAGGUAGCAGUUUCGGCUGUGUUAUAGCUCUUUACUGGAUUCGUCCUGGGGGACUGAGGAACGCAGCGUGCUUUUUGCAUGGGCUUCGGCCCAUCCACGCUUAGGAUGCGGGUGGAAUGGCUUUAAACGACCCGUCUUGUAACACGGACCAAGGAGUCUAACAU